rnacentral:rRNA from 1 species
UACAGAGGGUGCGAGCGUUGUCCGGAAUCACUGGGCGUAAAGGGCGCGUAGGCGCUUGAUAAGCGUGCGGUGAAAAGCCCCGGGGCUCAACCCCGGGUCGGCCGUGCGAACUGUCGAGCUGGAGCACUGUAGAGGCAGGUGGAAUUCCGGGUGUAGCGGUGGAAUGCGUAGAGAUCCGGAAGAACACCGGUGGCGAAGGCGGCCUGCUGGGCAGUGGCUGACGCUGGAGGCGCGACAGCGUGGGGAGCAAACAGG